rnacentral:SRP_RNA from 1 species
GCCGGGCGUGGUGGCACACACCUGUAAUCCCAGCUACUCAGGAGGCUGAGGCAGGAGAAUCACUUGAACCCAGGAGGCAGGGGUUACAGUGAUCUGAGAUUGUGCCACUGCACUCCAGCCUGGGUGACAGAGUGAGACUCUGCCUCAA